GGAGUCGGCCGGGCAAUCGCCGCCCGUUACUCUGGAUGACUCCGCAGGUGUUGUCUGGAGGCGGGGGGAGGAAAGUCCGGGCUCCACAGGGCAGGGUGCCAGGUAAUGCCUGGGGGGCGCGAGUCUACGGAAAGUGCAGCAGAGAGCAGACCGCCGAUGGCCCCGUUCGUAAGAAUGGGGAUCAGGUAAGGGUGAAAGGGUGCGGUAAGAGCGCACCGCGCGACUGGUAACAGUUCGUGGCACGGUAAACCCCACCCGGAGCAAGACCAAAUAGGAAUCCUACAGGCGUGGCCCGCGCUGGAUUCGGGUAGGUCGCUUGAGCCUGGGAGUGAUCCCCGGCCUAGAGGAAUGAUUGUCCACGACAGAACCCGGCUUACAGGCCGACUCCCUUU
rnacentral:RNase_P_RNA from 2 species